rnacentral:piRNA from 1 species
UGCCUUCCCGAGCACCCAGAGAAGAGAAU